rnacentral:rRNA from 1 species
CACGUAGGGCGCAAGCGUUGUCCGGAAUUAUUGGGCGUAAAGAGCUCGUAGGUGGUUUGUUACGUCUGCUGUGAAAACCUAGGGCUUAACCCUGGGCUUGCAGUGGAUACGGGCAGACUAGAGGUAGGUAGGGGAGAAUGGAAUUCCUGGUGUAGCGGUGAAAUGCGCAGAUAUCAGGAGGAACACCAGUGGCGAAGGCGGCUCACUGGCCCGAUACUGACGCUGAGGCACGAAAGCGUGGGGAGCAAACAGG